rnacentral:rRNA from 1 species
ACGGGUGAGUAAUGCCUAGGAAUCUGCCUGGUAGUGGAGGACAACGUUUCGAAAGGAACGCUAAUACCGCAUACGUCCUACGGGAGAAAGCAGGGACCUUCGGGCCUUGCGCUAUCAGAUGAGCCUAGGUCGGAUUAGCUAGUUGGUGAGGUAAUGGCUCACCAAGGCGACGAUCCGUAACUGGUCUGAGAGGAUGAUCAGUCACACUGGAACUGAGACACGGUCCAGACUCCUACGGGAGGCAGCAGCU